GAUGAAGAACGCAGCGAAAUGCGAUAAGUAAUGCGAAUUGCAGAAUUCAGUGAAUCAUCGAAUCUUUGAACGCACAUUGCGCCCGCCAGUACUCUGGCGGGCAUGCCUGUCUGAGCGUCAUUUCAACCCUCGCCCCCGGCUUCUGUCGGGGACGGUGUUGGGGAUCGGCCUCCCGUCUUCCGGGUGGCCGGCCCCUAAAUUGAGUGGCGACCACGCCGUAACCUCCUCUGCGUAGUAGUUAAACACUCGCGGGCGGAGAGCGGUGCGGCCUGCCGUAAAACCCCCAACUCUUCUAAGGUUGACCUCAGAUCAGGUAGGAAUACCCGCUGAACUUAAGCAUAUCAAUAAGCGGAGGA
rnacentral:misc_RNA from 1 species